rnacentral:rRNA from 1 species
GACGAACGCUGGCGGCGUGCCUAAUACAUGCAAGUCGAACGCACAGUUUAUACCGUAGCUUGCUACACCAUAGACUGUGAGUUGCGAACGCGUGAGUAACGCGUAGGUAACCUGCCUGGUAUCGGGGGAUAACUAUUUGAAACGAUAGCUAAUACCGCAUAAUAUUAAUUAUUGCAUGAUAAUUAAUUGAAAGGUGCAAUUGCACCACUACCAGAUGGACCUGCGUUGUAUUAGCUAGUAGGGGGGGUAACGGCCCACCUAGGCGACGAUACGUAGCCGACCAGAGAGGGGGAUCGGCCAAGCUGGGACUGAGGCACGACCCAGAAUCCUACGGGAGGCAGCAGUAGGGGAUCUUCGGCAAUGGACGAAAGGCUGACCGUGCAACGCCGCGUGAGUGAAGAAGGUUUUCGGAUCGUAAAGCUCUGUUGUAAGAUAAGAACGGGUGUGAGAGUGGAAAGUUCACACUGUGACGGUAUCUUAAGAGAAAGGGACGGCUAACUCCGUG